GGCUCGGUAGCUUAGUUGAUAAAGCGCUGGUCUAGCAUACAAGAGUCCUGGGUUCAAAUCCCAGCCGAGCAC
rfam:Aedes aegypti strain Liverpool supercont1.329 genomic scaffold, whole genome shotgun sequence.